AUUGAACGCUGGCGGCAGGCCUAACACAUGCAAGUCGAACGGUAACAGGAAGCAGCUUGCUGCUUUGCUGACGAGUGGCGGACGGGUGAGUAAUGUCUGGGAAACUGCCCGAUGGAGGGGGAUAACUACUGGAAACGGUAGCUAAUACCGCAUAACGUCGCAAGACCAAAGAGGGGGACCUUAGGGCCUCUUGCCAUCGGAUGUGCCCAGAUGGGAUUAGCUAGUAGGUGGGGUAACGGCUCACCUAGGCGACGAUCCCUAGCUGGUCUGAGAGGAUGACCAGCCACACUGGAACUGAGACACGGUCCAGACUCCUACGGGAGGCAGCAGUGGGGAAUAUUGCACAAUGGGCGCAAGCCUGAUGCAGCCAUGCCGCGUGUAUGAAGAUGGCCUUCGGGUUGUAAAGUACUUUCAGCGGGGAGGAAGGGAGUAAAGUUAAUACCUUUGCUCAUUGACGUUACCCGCAGAAGAAGCACCGGCUAACUCCGUG
rnacentral:rRNA from 1 species